UAGUCCACGCCGUAAACGAUGUCUACUAGCUGUAGGGGUACUUGAGACCUUUGUAGCGCAGCUAACGCAAUAAGUAGACCGCCUGGGGAGUACGGCCGCAAGGUUAAAACUCAAAUGAAUUGACGGGGGCCCGCACAAGCGGUGGAGCAUGUGGUUUAAUUCGAUGCAACGCGAAGAACCUUACCUACACUUGACAUGCUGAGAAGUUACUAGAGAUAGUUUCGUGCCUUCGGGAACUCAGACACAGGUGCUGCAUGGCUGUCGUCAGCUCGUGUCGUGAGAUGUUGGGUUAAGUCCCGCAACGAGCGCAACCCUUGUCCUUAGUUGCCAGCAUUAAGUUGGGCACUCUAAGGAGACUGCCGGUGACAAACCGGNGGAAGGUGGGGACGACGUCAAGUCAUCAUGGGCCCUUACGUGUAGGGGCUACACACGUGCUACAAUGGGCAUUUACAGAGGGAAGCGAGACAGUGAUGUGGGAGCGGGACCCCUUAAAGAA
rnacentral:rRNA from 1 species